GUUCACCAUUCAUGAAGGUGCCAUGAGAGUAAUAAAUUGUAACUCUCCAAGGAAGCAAAUGACUCAGAUAAGAUUGCCGAUUUGACACUCAUCAAGUAUAAGUUUUAAGCCAACAGCAUUAGUGGAGGGUUGCAAUUUUGGAAUUGCGGUUUAUUGGAAGACUGGUUUUGAAUGAUAACCAGUGAACUAUUUGUGAAAAAACGUAACAUGCAGCAAAAUAGUGGAAGCAACUGCAUUUACUAC
rnacentral:misc_RNA from 1 species